UCAAACUUGGUCAUUUAGAGGAAGUAAAAGUCGUAACAAGGUCUCCGUUGGUGAACCAGCGGAGGGAUCAUUAGCGAGUUUAACUCUCUAUAACCAUUGUGAACGAACAGUUUUGUUGCUUCGGCAGCGCAUACCUAUUGGGCUCUUGGAGCCCCGGGGCCGCCUGCCGAAAGAACGCAAACUCUUGUAACCACUGUAUCUCUGAGUGACUUAUUUAAUAAGUUAAAACUUUCAACAACGGAUCUCUUGGUUCUGGCAUCGAUGAAGAACGCAGC
rnacentral:misc_RNA from 1 species